UCAGCCUUGGUGUAGUGGUAGCACGGCCUCGCCUAUUAAUAGGUUAAUGCGGCAAUUUUCGAGGCAGUUCUGGGUUCGAUUCCCGGGGUCUGAA